rnacentral:lncRNA from 1 species
AUUAGGACCUGGAGUGGGGGUGGGGAAAGGAAGGCUGUCAGAGAGGCCAUACCUUCACCCAGUGGACCUUGUGCCCUGCGCCUGGGAGGACAAACAGCCUCUGCUGUGGAGGUAGUCUCAGUCAGGGGUCUUAGGACCCAGGGCCUCUCUCCCCUCUGCCCCAUCCUGGCAGCCCCUACCAUCACCUCCAGCUCCAGGCGCUGCUGGAAAAUUGGUCUUGGCUGUGAAUGUCAAGGGCAACUGAGGGUCUCAGAGAUGGUCCCAACAGGAUCAUCUGGUCCUGACGCCACCCACCCUGCUCCGGGGAAGGCAUGAGGGCAGAGGGCAGUCCUGGAGCUGUGGGUCCCUGAGAAAUGAGAUGCGCAGGCAUGCUGAGCCGGUGUCCAGCACAUGGCCCUCCCGGGUGCGGCAGGUGUCCCCGGGGGGCUAUGGCGGGCCCUCCUGCCCUGCCUCUCCUGGCAUCUCCCCACCCCUCUGUGUUCUC